GAUGAACGCUGGCGGCGUGCCUAAUACAUGCAAGUCGAGCGAACAGACGAGGAGCUUGCUCCUCUGACGUUAGCGGCGGACGGGUGAGUAACACGUGGAUAACCUACCUAUAAGACUGGGAUAACUUCGGGAAACCGGAGCUAAUACCGGAUAAUAUAUUGAACCGCAUGGUUCAAUAGUGAAAGACGGUUUUGCUGUCACUUAUAGAUGGAUCCGCGCCGCAUUAGCUAGUUGGUAAGGUAACGGCUUACCAAGGCGACGGUGCGUAGCCGACCUGAGAGGGGGAUCGGCCACACUGGAACUGAGACACGGUCCAGACUCCUACGGGAGGCAGCAGUAGGGAAUCUGCCGCAAUGGGCGAAAGCCUGACGGAGCAACGCCGCGUGAGUGAUGAAGGUCUUCGGAUCGUAAAACUCUGUUAUUAGGGAAGAACAAAUGUGUAAGUAACUAUGCACGUCUUGACGGUACCUAAUCAGAAAGCCACGGCUAACUACGUG
rnacentral:rRNA from 1 species